rnacentral:miRNA from 1 species
CAGGGCCGGGCUGGGCUGGGCUGGGCUGGGCUGGGCUGGGGUGAAGUUCUAGAGUUUUUUUUUUCUUUUUUCUCUUC